rnacentral:rRNA from 1 species
AAUAGAUACCCGGGUAGUCCACGCCGUAAACGAUGAGUGCUAAGUGUUAGAGGGUUUCCGCCCUUUAGUGCUGCAGCAAACGCAUUAAGCACUCCGCCUGGGGAGUACGGCCGCAAGGCUGAAACUCAAAGGGAAUUGACGGGGACCCGCACAAGCGGUGGAGCAUGUGGUUUAAUUCGAAGCAACGCGAAGAACCUUACCAGGUCUUGACAUCCUCUGACCAUCCUAGAGAUAGGACCUUCCCCUUCGGGGGACAGAGUGACAGGUGGUGCAUGGUUGUCGUCAGCUCGUGUCGUGAGAUGUUGGGUUAAGUCCCGCAACGAGCGCAACCCUUGUCCUUAGUUGCCAGCAUUCAGUUGGGCACUCUAAGGAGACUGCCGGUGACAAACCGGAGGAAGGUGGGGAUGACGUCAAAUCAUCAUGCCCCUUAUGACCUGGGCUACACACGUGCUACAAUGGAUGGUACAAAGGGCUGCGAAGCCGCGAGGUGGAGCCAAUCCCAUAAAACCAUUCUCAGUUCGGAUUGC